rnacentral:rRNA from 1 species
GACGAACGCUGGCGGCGUGCUUAACACAUGCAAGUCGAACGGAAAGGCCCUGCUUUUGUGGGGUGCUCGAGUGGCGAACGGGUGAGUAACACGUGAGUCACCUGCCCUUGACUUUGGGAUAACUUCAGGAAACUGGGGCUAAUACCGGAUAGGAGCUCCUGCUGCAUGGUGGGGGUUGGAAAGUUUCGGCGGUUGGGGAUGGACUCGCGGCUUAUCAGCUUGUUGGUGGGGUAGUGGCUUACCAAGGCUUUGACGGGUAGCCGGCCUGAGAGGGUGACCGGCCACAUUGGGACGGAGAUGCGGCCCAGACUCCUACGGGAGGCAGCAGUGGGGAAUAUUGCACAAUGGGCGGAAGCCGGAUGCAGCAGCGCCGCGUGCGGGAUGACGGCCUUCGGGUGGUAAACCGCUUUCGCCUGUGACGAAGCGUGAGUGACGGUAAUGGGUAAAGAAGCACCGGCUAACUACGU